rnacentral:lncRNA from 1 species
GCUAUCCUCUGAACCAAUUUCCUUCGGUUUAAUGUACCUGUAUCUUGGGGUUUUUUUCCACUUAAUUUAUCCUGGAGCUCUUUCCAUAACAACACUUGGAAAGCACUCUCAUCCUUUUUUCACUGCUGAACAGAAUUCCACUGUGUGGAUGGAACAUACUCUAUUUCACCAGUCCCCUGUAGCCAGUCACUUGGUUUGUUUCCAAUCUUUUGCUUUUUCAGAGUAAUAACCUUGUAUGUCUAUCAUUUUGUAUGCAUACAGGUUUAUAUGUAGGAAAAAUUCCUAGAGUAGGAUUGCUGGACCAAUGGAUAAAAGUAUAUUGUGGACAGACAAUGCCAAAUUGCCUUUCAGAGACUGUGGCCCUGUGCACCCCAUCAGGCAUGUGUGACUACCAAAGCUCCUGUCAGCUGUUUUAUUUUAUCUCCUUUCCAGUCUCAGGCUCAAUGCAGAACUUUGAGGUAAGCUUUUCUAAAAUGUAGGCUCCUAAACGCCACAGCCAGCUCUGCCACAUGAAGGAGAGCUCAAAUGAGACAGAAACAGCCUCUGGGCAGGAUUUCUAUCCUGCACAGAUAUAUUUUCCACAUUCUGGGAAACCGUGAAGCUUCCAGAGCCACAAUUCCCCAGAAACACAUCCCCCUGCUGGUACAGCCAAGCCCCAGAACAAGCUGUGCUUGCCUGGCACCUCAAAGCCAAGCACCAUGGAUGCCACUUGCUAUGGGUGCCUGCAAUUUCAAAUAAUGAGAAAUAAGAAAUUUCAGCUUCUCAGUCCCUCUAGCCAACAUUUCAGGUGCAUGACAGCCUCAGGUGGCAAGCAGCUACUCUGCCGGACAGGGCAGAAGAUGGAACACCCCAUCCCUGGGGAAGAUCACGAGGUCAGGAGAUCAAGACCAUCCUGGCUAACACAGUGAAACCCCGUCUCUACUGAAAAUACAAAACAUUAGCUGGGUGUGGUGGCAGGCACCUGUAGUCCCAGCUACUCAGGAGGCUGAGGCAGGAGAAUGGCGUGAACCUGGGAGGUGGAGGUUGCAGUGAGCCAAGAUUGCGCCACUGCACUCCAGCCUGGCAACAGAGUAAGACUCCAUAUCAAAAAAAAGAGAAAAGAAGAAGAAAGAAAGAAAGAAGAAGAAGAGGAAGAAGAAGAAGUGGAAGAAGAAGGAAAGAGGAAGAGGAGAAGCAGGAGAAGAACAAGGAGAAGAAGAAGGAGAGAGAAGAAGAGACAAGAAGAAGGAGAAGAAGGAGAGAGAAGAGACAAGAGAAGAAGGAAGAAGGAGGAGGAGAAGGAAGAAGAAAAGGAGAAGAAAGAAGAAGAAGGAAGAAGAAAGAACAACAAAAAGAAGGAGAAGAACAAGGAAGAAGAACAACUAAGGAGAAGGAAGAAGGAGAAGAAGAAAGAAGAACAAAAAGAAAGAAGAAGGAGAAGGAAGAAGAAGGAGGAGGAGAAGGAGAAGAAGAAGGAGAAGAACAAGGAGAAGGAGAGAAGAAGAAGAGACAAGAAGAAAGAAGGAGAAGAAGAAGGAAGAAGAAAAGGAAGAAGAAAAGAGGAAGGAGGAGGAAGAAGGAGAAGAAGGAAGAAUAAGGAAGAAGGAGAACAAGGAGAAGGAAGAAGAAAAGAAGAAGGAGAAGGAGGAAGAAGGAGAAGAAAGAGGAGAAGAAGGAAGAAAGAAGAAAAAAAGAAACAAUAGAAGAAGAGGAAGAAAAGAAAAAAGAAAAAGAGAAGAAAGAAGAGGGAAGAAAGAAAAGAGGAAGAAGAAUAAGGAAGAAGAAGAAAGAGAAGAAAGAAGAAGAAAAGAAGGAAGAAGAGGAAGAAAAGAAGGAAGAAGAAGAAAGGAAGAACU